rnacentral:rRNA from 1 species
UACGUAGGUGGCAAGCGUUGUCCGGAUUUACUGGGCGUAAAGAGCGCGCAGGCGGUCGUUCAAGUCGCGUGUGAAAGCCCCCCGGCUCAACUGGGGAGGGUCACGCGAUACUGAUCGACUCGAAGGCAGGAGAGGGUAAGUGGAAUUCCCGGUGUAGUGGUGAAAUGCGUAGAUAUCGGGAGGAACACCAGUGGCGAAGGCGACUACCUGGCCUGUUCUUGACGCUGAGGCGCGAAAGCUAGGGGAGCAAACAGG